rnacentral:rRNA from 1 species
AUACGUAGGGUGCAAGCGUUAAUCGGAAUUACUGGGCGUAAAGCGUGCGCAGGCGGUUUUGUAAGACAGUGGUGAAAUCCCCGGGCUCAACCUGGGAACUGCCAUUGUGACUGCAAGGCUGGAGUGCGGCAGAGGGGGAUGGAAUUCCGCGUGUAGCAGUGAAAUGCGUAGAUAUGCGGAGGAACACCGAUGGCGAAGGCAAUCCCCUGGGCCUGCACUGACGCGCAUGCACGAAAGCGGUGGGAGCAAACAGGAUUAGAUACCCUGGUAGUCCACGCCCUAAACGAUGUCAACUGGUUGUUGGGGAUUUAUUUUCUCAGUAACGAAGCUAACGCGUGAAGUUGACCGCCUGGGGAGUACGGCCGCAAGGUUAAAACUCAAAU